rnacentral:lncRNA from 1 species
UUUUUAUGGGGGGGGGGGGCUAGGAUGAAAUUUGAAAAAAAUAGGCAGGACAGGAGUUUUGAGUAAAAAAAAAAAAGGCAGGAUGAGACACUUUGCAAAAAAAAAAAGGCAGGAUGACAAUUUAGGUAAAAAAAAAAGUCAGGAUAAACUAAUUAAAAAAAAGGCAGGACCGAAUAGAGUGAAAAAUAAAAAGGCAGGACAGAGAUUACAACUAAAAAAAAAAUGCAGGACCAAAUUUUUCAUCCUAGCCCCCCCC